rnacentral:rRNA from 1 species
CCCUUAGAUGUUCUGGGCCGCACGCGCGCUACACUGAUGCACUCAACGAGUCUGCCUUGUCCGAAAGGUCCGGGCAACCUUUUGAAAUUGCAUCGUGAUGGGGAUAGAUUAUUGCAAUUAUUAAUCUUCAACGAGGAAUUCCUAGUAAGGCCGUGUCAUCAGCGCGGCCUGAUUACGUCCCUGCCCUUUGUACACACCGCCCGUCGCUCCUACCGAUUGAAUGAUCCGGUGAGGUCUUUGGACUGUGAUGACGGUUUCGGUUCGCCGGACUGCUGUCGCGGGAAGAUACGCAAACCUUAUCAUUUAGAGGAAGGAGAAGUCGUAACA